rnacentral:rRNA from 1 species
AGAACAACCCCGGGAAACUGGGGCUAACUCUAGAUAGGUGAAGAACUCUGGAAUGAGUCUUUGCCUAAAUAGGUUCACGUUAUCCUCGUGAACUUGCCUAAGGAUGAGGCCGCGACCGAUCAGGUUGUUGGCGAGGUAAUGGCUCACCAAGCCUUUUACCGGUGCGGGCCGUGGGAGCGGGAGCCCGGAGAUGGGUACUGAGACAAGGACCCAGGCCCUACGGGGCGCAGCAGUCGCGAAACCUUUGCAAUACACGAAAGUGUGACAGGGCUAUCCCGAGUGCCAUCCGCUGAGGAAGGCUUUUACCCAGUCUAGAACGCUGGGGGAAUAAGGAGAGGGCAAGUCUGGUGUCAGCCGCCGCGGUAAUACCAGCUCUCCGAGUGGUGUGGAUGUUUAUUGGGCCUAAAGCAUCCGUAGCUGGCUAGGUUUGUCCCUUGUUAAAUCCACCGAAUUAAUCGCUGGAUCGCGGGGGAUACUGCUUGGCUAGGGGACGAGAGAGGCAGACGGUAUUCUCGGGGUAGGGGUGAAAUCCUAUAAUCCCGGGAAGACCACCAGUGGCGAAGGCUGUCUGCUAGAACGCGCCCGACGGUGAGGGAUGAAAGCUGGGGGAGCGAACCGGAUUAGAUACCCGGGUAGUCCCAGCUGUAAACGAUGCAGACUAGGUGUUUGGACGGCCACGUGCCGUUCUAGUGCCGCAGGGAAGCUGUUAAGUCUGCCGCCUGGGGAGUACGAUCGCAA